CAUUAGCAUGGCCCAUGUGCAAGGAUGACACACAAAUUCAUGAAGCGUUCCAUGUUUUA
ensembl:snRNA U6 U6 spliceosomal RNA